rnacentral:rRNA from 1 species
GUGAGUAACGCGUGGGAACGUACCAUUUGCUACGGAAUAACUCAGGGAAACUUGUGCUAAUACCGUAUGUGCCCUUCGGGGGAAAGAUUUAUCGGCAAAUGAUCGGCCCGCGUUGGAUUAGCUAGUUGGUGGGGUAAAGGCUCACCAAGGCGACGAUCCAUAGCUGGUCUGAGAGGAUGAUCAGCCACACUGGGACUGAGACACGGCCCAGACUCCUACGGGAGGCAGCAGUGGGGAAUAUUGGACAAUGGGCGCAAGCCUGAUCCAGCCAUGCCGCGUGAGUGAUGAAGGCCCUAGGGUUGUAAAGCUCUUUCACCGGUGAAGAUAAUGACGGUAACCGGAGAAGAAGCCCCGGCUAACUUCGUGCCAGCAGCCGCGGUAAUACGAAGGGGGCUAGCGUUGUUCGGAUUUACUGGGCGU